UACGGAGGGUGCGAGCGUUAAUCGGAAUUACUGGGCGUAAAGCGCGCGUAGGCGGCUUCGUCAGUUGGAUGUGAAAGCCCCGGGCUCAACCUGGGAACUGCAUUCAAUACUGCGGAGCUAGAGUAUGGUAGAGGUGAGUGGAAUUCCAGGUGUAGCGGUGAAAUGCGUAGAUAUCUGGAGGAACAUCAGUGGCGAAGGCCGACUCACUGGACCAAUACUGACGCUGAGGUGCGAAAAGCGUGGGGGAGCAAAACAGGAUUAGAUACCCCCCGUAGUCC
rnacentral:rRNA from 1 species